AAGGGUAUAGCUCGGUGGUAGAGCGCGUGCUUAGAGUGCACGAGGUCCUGGGUUCAAACCCCAGUACCUGCA
rnacentral:tRNA from 1 species